GAGCUGCUAAACUGGGAAGUACCUGGAGAACUAAAGAAGAGAGUGAAAGUGGAAGAGGGGAAGGGUCUGGAGGUGUAAGGAACAGUUUGAUUGGUCUAAGAAGUAUCCGCACUUCAAACUCCACCACUUCAACCAGGCGUUUCGUACAUCAGAGCCUCCAGUGGCUUGUUAAAAGUUACACCUCGGAACAGCAGCGAGCUCCCUGCCCCCGUCAGCACAAAACGCACUCUGAGUCUGAGUCCAAAACAGCCAGCUGACAUCAUGUGCACCCACAGCAGGGUCCACCAUUGCUUUUCCAUUAGAAGACUACAGCCUGACACCCCCUGUCUACGAGAACUGUGAACAACUCCAAUAAUAGAUGCAUUAAAAGCCAGGGCUGUGUAAUCAAGGUGCUUUGUGAAUUAUAGAGCUCCAUACUGUCCAAUCACAUAGAACUCCGCAGUGCACUUCCUGCUCCUGCCCACUCAUACUGCAGCCUACACACGUUCAAUAUUCAGACAAGAUUUUCAGGAAUUCUGAAUGAAUUUUCACACUGUGUUACUGUAGAUAGCAAUAUGCUGGUAAUAUAUUGGCAUAUUAAAGGGCCUGUACAAGAUUUUUUUCUAUGUAUUUCACCAAAAUUCAGUGUAUUUUUAUAAUUCCCCUCCAAAAAAAUUUUAAUAGAAAUAAGGGUAAGUAUGUUUUGGUAAAGUACAUUGUAAUUGAGUAUAUACGCACUAGCCACAAGAGCUUCCCAUCGAGUGGGAUGAGGCUGUUCACAUUGGGACUAUGGAGCUCUACAAUAGACAAUAACACUUGAAAUGAAUCAUUUUAGCUCAUGAAUUGUGUUUGAAGAGGCCAGAUUGUGGAUAUAGAGAAUAAUAGAGCUGUGUGUUCAUUAGAAAGAUCCUAAGGCUCUAUGUUUGUGGAGGCAAAGUAAAAAGACUUUUUCUUUAGUUACUGUGACUGUAUUAAAUCAGACAUGUAAGUAUUCCCAUGUGUGUUUAUAGUUUUUUACUCAUCUUACUGACUUAUCACAGUUGAUCAAAAUAUACAUGAGUUACAUCUGAAACCACUGAAUGUUCUCUUUACCUCUCUCUGUAGAUGUCUUGUAGAUUGUAGAUAGAUGUAGAUUCUUAAAUACCCAUACCAUAUCAUCACUGUAUUUUAUUUGGAAAACACAACUGGCUACAACCAUACAACAGACAUCAGUUUCAUUGGAUUCAACUAAUCUUUAAAUUUAACUACUUUAACUGUCCUCAUUAUCUACAUCAAUAUUUAGUAACAGUAAUAUCGUCAUAUUCACUUAGAAGCACCCACUGUGUCAAUUUUUCUGUUUCCCGAAUCUACAAAGAAGUUGGACGUAAAUCAUUUCAGUACAAAGCCCCUUCAGACUGGAAUGGAUUACCCACACCCUUAACAUCUUUCAAUUCAUUUAAAUCAUCUUUAUUUUCAUAUCUCAGAACUAGUUGUUUAUGCUUUUAGUUUGUCUUUUCUUUAUAUGAAUCAAGUACUGUUGUAGGAGUUGGGAGUGCAUGAGGGAGCAUGU